CCCUUAGAGUUUGAUCCUGGCUCAGAACGAACGCUGGCGGCGUGCCUAACACAUGCAAGUCGAACGAGAAAGCCCUUCGGGGCGAGUAGAGUGGCGCACGGGUGAGUAACACGUAGGUGACCUACCUUUGGGCGGGGGAUAACCAGAAGAAAUUCUGGCUAAUACCGCAUAAGCAGGGCUAUUUUGAAUGUGGCCUUGGAAAGAAUGCCUCUGAAUAUGCAUUCACCGAUUGAUGGGCCUGCGGGACAUUAGCUUGAUGGUGGGGUAACGGCCUACCAUGGCGACGAUGUCUAGCGGAUCUGAGAGGAUGAUCCGCCACACUGGAACUGAGACACGGUCCAGACUCCUACGGGAGGCAGCAGUGGGGAAUAUUGCGCAAUGGAGGAAACUCUGACGCAGCAACGCCGCGUGAGUGAGGAAGGCCCUCGGGUCGUAAAGCUCUGUCAGAUGGGAAGAAACCUCUAUGGUCGAAUAGGCCAUAGAACUGACGGUACCAUCAGAGGAAGCACCGGCUAACUUCGUGCCAGCAGCCGCGGUAAUACGAAGGGUGCAAGCGUUGUUCGGAUUUAUUGGGCGUAAAGCGCGCGCAGGCGGAUACGUAAGUCAGAUGUGAAAUCUCGGGGCUCAACCCCGAAACUGCGUCUGAAACUACAUAUCUAGAGUCUCGGAGAGGGAGGUGGAAUUUCGCAUGUAGGGGUAAAAUCCGUAGAGAUGCGAAGGAACACCAGAGCGAAGCGACCUCCUGGACGAGUACUGACGCUGAGCGCGAAAGCGUGGGGAGCAACAGAUAGAUACCCUGGUAGUCACGCCGUAAACGAUGUGCACUAAAUCUGGCGGGUUGACC
rnacentral:rRNA from 1 species